GUGGAUUAGAUACCCGGGUAGUCCACGCCGUAAACGUUGGGCGCUAGGUGUGGGUCCCUUCCACGGGGUCUGUGCCGCAGCUAACGCAUUAAGCGCCCCGCCUGGGGAGUACGGCCGCAAGGCUAAAACUCAAAGGAAUUGACGGGGGCCCGCACAAGCGGCGGAGCAUGUUGCUUAAUUCGACGCAACGCGAAGAACCUUACCAAGGUUUGACAUGGCCGGAAAACUCGCAGAGAUGCGGGGUCCUUCGGGGCCGGUCACAGGUGGUGCAUGGCCGUCGUCAACU
rnacentral:rRNA from 1 species